AACGAACGCUGGCGGCAUGCCUAACACAUGCAAGUCGAACGAGACCUUCGGGUCUAGUGGCGCACGGGUGCGUAACGCGUGGGAAUCUGCCCUUCGGUUGGGAAUAACUGAGAGAAAUUUCAGCUAAUACCUUAUAAUGUCUUCGGACCAAAGAUUUAUCGCCGAGGGAUGAGCCCGCGUAGGAUUAGGUAGUUGGUGGGGUAAUGGCCUACCAAGCCGACGAUCCUUAGCUGUCUGAGAGGAUGAUCAGCCACACUGGGACUGAGACACGGCCCAGACUCCUACGGGAGGCAGCAGUGGGGAAUAUUGGACAAUGGGCGAAAGCCUGAUCCAGCAAUGCCGCGUGAGUGAUGAAGGCCUUAGGGUUGUAAAGCUCUUUUACCCGGGAUGAUAAUGACAGUACCGGGAGAAUAAGCUCCGGCUAACUCCGUG
rnacentral:rRNA from 1 species